ACGUGAUUCAAAGCUUUCUUACUUGGAAAUACUUUAUGCUUUAACCCAGUAACUCAUCCUUAAGUGUUUACGUGCCACGAUUAAGAUCCGUCUUAGCAAGCAUCCUGAUAACCCUAUUAAUUAGUCAAUCUCCUUGAGUACUAGGUGUUAGUUGCUCAACGUGCUCUAAAGGUGCCGUAAAUUCAUUUUCUCCCCGUUUCUGUCAGUUAUCCAUAUGCAGGUAUAUGCAUGCCUGCUAUAAGCCACGGCGGCUUAACCUUAUAUAAUAAAUACCUAUGGACGUGUACACGUGUAUAUAUAUACAUACUAUUGACUUCUUAGAAAUCCUGUAAAAGCAUCUCCGCCGAGUCCCAGAGUACGGUGCGAUUAAUUAACGUUCCUCCCCCCCUGCUCACCAUGUAUAAGCCCCCGACUCAUCAAGAACUUGCCGAACGGCUUCAAGACAUUAAGACGUCUCGCAUUGGACAUUAGUACUCACAAGGCGUUAUAUAUCUAUAUUCACACGUGCUCGUACGUCGUGUACAGGUAUACUGGCGUGUUUAACGCCAUGCAAUUAGUUUCCACCGAUUGAGCAGAACCACGAGGCCAAUGAGGGACGUCGCUGGAGCAAGGCGAAUUUGCAUGUGGUCGAUUAACGCGACGUUAUUGAUAGGACAGGCGUGAUGGGAAGAACGAUGAUUCUCGAAGGUUAGUACGCGAGGGGUAAAGUAACACUUUAUAAAUGAGCGUCAAAAGGUUUGAAGAUGAUCGUCGGUCCUUUGAAGAUGCUGUGACAGGAUAUUAUCAUUAUUGCAUACUCAAAUUGGUGGGGCCUGGAUAAAUGAUCUAAGAAGGUACACCGAUCACGUGAUAAUCCGAGGAUAAAUGAUAAAUUUAAAUUUUUUAUUUUUUAUAACGCGCCCUCCACACCGCGGAGAGCCAUGCUGGGGAAUUUUAAUUGUUUAUCGAUGAUCUUCAUCUCCGUGGGGAAGACGAGACUUAAUUACACGAUAUUUUACGAGAAUUACGCAGCCUCCGGCUUGGCGCAUGCGCGUAUCCUAUGUAUGUACGAUCGCCACGUACAAACGAUCGAACAAUAAUCGAAAUCGUUCUCGAAAUGGCGCGAGCACGCGAGCGCAUUAAAUCGCACCGAAUGAAUUCCAUUCCGCUUGUCUCCCGGAUAUACCGAUCUGACGAUCUUGCCUGCCGAUCGAUUAUUGCGCACACGCCGUGUGGCUUCGAUUUCUCGGACUCUUUCCACCUGUAGUAUCUCCUUUCAACCCUCUUUGCUUACACGGCACCUUUUUCUUCUUCUCGCGAUCUCACCACGACCGACCGCGAACCACUCUGUCGGGAUUAUGCACGCUAAUUCCACGCCGUCGUGGCAGGAACACGCACUUUAAUGGAGCCCCGGCAACUCGUAAUCUCCUCCCUUCCUUUUUUCACUCUUUGCUGCCGUUGUUUCCGUCCUUCUUUUUUUUUAACCAACGAAAGGUUCUUUCAAGUGGCGCCGACGGUGUAAUGCCUUCGAAUUUAGGAAAAUAAGGGAAUAAUCGGAGCUUGCCAAAGGAUACAGAAGUUUAUGAGAUAAUUUGACUCGUAAAGUUAUAAAAUAUUGUUCCCAUUUUUUUUUUUUUCUUCAAGUUAUGCAAUGCGUACAUUACGCUAGACACAUGGACUACAUUUACACCCCUAUAAAUCGUAGGGCAACGCUGCUUCUGAAACUAGAUUCUGGUACAUCCACAGUAUCUAGAGUUACCAACUAUAAAUAACUAAUAACAAAAAAAAUAUGCUAUCGCACCGGUAGCAUGGUAUAGGACAAGAAUACCAUGGCUAACUCAGAACGAACUAUGGUGCUUGCAAUGGUGGAAGCACACCAGUCAAACGGGUAUCAUUGUUCCAAGCAUAAACUUACCAACAUCAGCAUACGUGUCCGUAACCAUAUAUAUGAAUAUAUAUAUAUAUAUAUAUCUAUAUACGAGUAUAGAUACAUAGAAGAAAAUCCUGUACAGUCGCUGAAGAAAGAACAUCAACCGAUUCAGCUUGGUCUAAGAAAGUAUAACGAAAAGUUUAUCAGCCUUGUAUAAAACUUACUCGCGUUACUGUACUAUAUAGGUACACAAUUUUUCGCCGGAUUCUCCAGAAACUCGUCGUAUAAAUUCGAGAUAUUUAUACGAUCGUUUGAAAAUACCCCAAUGCGCUCUUUCGCUCCCGCGUCCACUUAUUUUUAUAUACCGUCCCCCCCAUCGCGUCCCCUCUUCUGCUAUUAUCACCAUAUGGGAGCAACGAUUCUCCACGUCUCUUCGCCAUUUGCAUGAUUUUCGAAUUAAAAGGUAAUACGCGGCGAAUUCCAUAAGACGUCUCAAUUUCAUGGCGGCGUGACUAUAGCCAUGAUACUUGUAAGGUAACAUAUGAAAGUCCUAAGGAAUAAACGAUUGGGAUGUUGGAUGUGACAAGAUGGCGGUAAAAUGUGAGUAUUUGUGUAUGCAUGUUACGUAUACAUGGAUGGGAUCGUUAAAUAAAACUAUAAAAUGGAGACUCAACGUUUAGUCAUGGGCUUAUGGUGCUUCCUAAAGAUUUUUA